CCGAGAGCAAGGUCGUCGGUCAGCGUCCAUUUUCGUGUUGUUUCAGUUUUCCGUGUUCCCUGGCGCGUAACCGAGCCGCAGGUGUCACCUCCCUCGCCUGCCGGCCUUGCGCCCACCUCGCCUCGCUCGACUCUGUGGAGCGAGGCUAUUU
rnacentral:sRNA from 1 species